CCAAGCUGCAAAAUCAAAUUCGGAAAGUAAAAAUCUGAAUCGUUUCAAAGUUCAAACACAGAGGUAUGAUUAUGCUCAAUUUUGUUUGUUGAUUUUACGGCAAACAGUUGGAUUCAGAACAACUAUAAGCAAUUUUGGUAAGUAAGUCGCAAAGAUGUUCGUCGUAUUUCCAUUGUUCAUUACCUAAUCUGAAUCGUUUCAAAGUUAAAACGCAGAGAUAUAAUUAUGCUCGAUUUUGUUUGUUGAUUUUACGGGAAACAGUUGGAUUCGGAACAGCUACAACUACAACUACAAGCAAUUUCGGGGAAACAGUUGAAUUUAGAACAAGCAAAUUCGGAAAACGCGCGAGAGCUCAAAUUGGAAACUAAAAAACACCGUACCGUUAGUCCAUUAGCGAAUCUGGUGAUGAGAGUCACGACGAGAGAAUAGGCUGCGAGCUCGGUAGCACCAACAUGGCCGACGAAAGCUUGGCUGAUCACAUUUAUUCCAAAAGUUGAAACUCGGGUGAGAAUUGCAGGUCCAGCGACGAUCCACAUCUUCUUCGACUCCGACCACACCUUACUCGCGAGACUUCUCGCCUCCUCGCCGUCUUCGUCGCCAUUUUCUACUCUCGCCAAAAGCCUUUCCUCAGUUUCACUGCGUUCCAUACCUCGACCGCCGCCUUUAAUUUCCUUCUACGCAAAUAAACGCAGAAGCAAUUUCACAAUAUCAGAAUAUUAUCUCUGACUUCACCGUCAAUUCCGCAAACACAAAAUGAAUAACAGUUACUACGCGCGCCAGCACAA